CUGCCGAACGGCCAUCUUCGGUGGACGCUCCUAUGAGCUCACGUCAUCGUGGUAGACUGGUAGUGCAGCGACGCCGCUCCAGACAAUGCCUAGGAGACGUCUUCAGGUUUGACGGUGGCAGGAUGGAGCUUUGAGGACCUCCAGUUUGGUGGCGGUAUGCGUGUAAAAUGGAGGAAGUGGUUACACUAUCUAUUUUAAACAUGCAGCAGGCAAAAAAUAAGUUGCUGGAUCGACGCAUGCUUUGCUCCUGUGCUCCUCUGUCCGUGCUAAGGUUUGCAUUUUUCUCUCUGUACAAAUUUUGUGCUUUUUGCCUGCUAUUGAUUUACUUGUUGCGUAUGUGUAUUCAGCACACUUGAGAUCAUUCUUAUUUGGCCACACAUUUUUGUUUUACUUGGUGUAUUCAAAGUACAGAUGUUUUUCCAUUAUUUCAG